UACGAGUGCCCCAAGCGUUAUCCGGAAUUAUUGGGCGUAAAGGGUGUGUAGGUGGUUAUAUUAGUCUUCUGUUAAAGCUCUCGGCUUAACCGGGAAAAUGCAGGAGAAACGGUAUAACUAGAGGAUGUGAGAGGUGUGCGGAACUCAUGGUGUAGGGGUGAAAUCCGUUGAUAUCAUGGGGAACACCAAAAGCGAAGGCAGCACACUGGCGCAUUCCUGACAUUGAAACACGAAAGCGUGGGUAGCGAAUGGG
rnacentral:rRNA from 1 species